rnacentral:rRNA from 1 species
GAUGAACGCUGGCGGCGUGCUUAACACAUGCAAGUCGAACGGAAAGGCUCCUGCCUGCCGGGGUACUCGAGUGGCGAACGGGUGAGUAACACGUGGGUGAUCUGCCCUGUACUUCGGGAUAAGCUUGGGAAACUGGGUCUAAUACCGGAUAUGACAAUCUCCUGGAUGGGGUUGUGGAAAGCUUUUGCGGUAUGGGAUGAGCUCGCGGCCUAUCAGCUUGUUGGUGGGGUAAUGGCCUACCAAGGCGUCGACGGGUAGCCGGCCUGAGAGGGUGUACGGCCACAUUGGGACUGAGAUACGGCCCAGACUCCUACGGGAGGCAGCAGUGGGGAAUAUUGCACAAUGGGCGCAAGCCUGAUGCAGCGACGCCGCGUGGGGGAUGACGGCCUUCGGGUUGUAAACUCCUUUCGCAACCGACGAAGCUUUUGUGACGGUAGGUGGAGAAGAAGCACCGGCUAACUACGUG